GUAGGGGACAAGCGUUAUCCGGAUUUACUGGGCGUAAAGCGCCCGUAGGCGGCCUAACAAGUUGGAUGUGAAAGCUCCCGGCUUAACUGGGAGAGGUCAUUCAAAACUGAUAGGCUAGAGGAUGGAAGAGGAGAGCGGAAUUCCCGGUGUAGUGGUGGAAUGCGUAGAGAUCGGGAGGAACACCAGUGGCGAAAGCGGCUCUCUGGUCCGUACCUGACGCUGAGGGGCGAAAGCGUGGGGAGCGAACGGGAUUAGAUACCCCGGUAGUCCACGCUGUAAACGAUGGAUACUAGGUGUAGGGGGCAUUAACCCCCUCUGUGCCGUAGCAAACGCGUUAAGUAUCCCGCCUGGGGAGUACGGCCGCAAGGUUA
rnacentral:rRNA from 1 species